GCAGCCGUGGCCUACUGGUUAAGGUUUCGGACUUGGAACCGAAGGGUUGCCGGUUCGAUCCCCGACCAGUAGGG
rnacentral:tRNA from 1 species